CGGCCGCCAUCUCCCUAUCCGCUGCGUCAACGCGAGAGUGGACGCAACUAAGUGGAAGACGCUACCCUUCCGUCUUUCCGGGUCUUCCAAGCUUCGACCCCGGCUCCUGUGGACCCUGGGCCCGAGGGAGAGCCAGAAAAAAAUCCUCUGAUCGAGAGCUGAAAUGCAUAAAAGCAGCUGGCAGAGUAGAAGACACAGGAGAAGGGGCCACCGACACAACGCUGGGUUCAGGCAGCAUGGUUCUAACGAGAGGAAUGAUGCAGGGGCGCAGCAGAGCCCUCAGGCUUCCAGCGAUGGCCGUGGUGAGGCCCCCUCAACCUCCAGCCCAGCUGGCAGCUCUUCUGUGCCAGAUCUACCAGGUUAUUACUUUGAUCCUGAAAAGAAGCGCUACUUCCGCUUGCUGCCUGGACAUAACAACUGCAACCCUCUCACGAAGGAGAGUAUCCGGCAGAAGGAAAUGGAGCGCAAGAGGCUGAAGCUGCUAGAGGAAGAGAAACGGCAGGGGAAGAAAAUAGCCAGGUUGGGAUUUAAUACAUCUUCCUUACUCCAGAAAAGCAAGCUGGGUUUUCUCAAUGCCACCAGUUACUGCCGUUUAGCCCACGAGCUGCGAGUGAGCUGCAUGCAGAGGAAAAAGGUCCAAAUUCAGAGCUCGGAUCCCUCUGCUUUGGCAAGUGACCAGUUUAACCUGAUAAUGGCGGAUACCAACAGUGAGCGGCUCUUCACUGUGAACGAUGUCAAAGUCGGGGGCUCCAAGUACGGCAUCAUCAGCCUGCACGGCCUGAAGACCCCCACGUUCAGGGUGCACAUGCACGAAAACCUCUAUUUCACCAACCGGAAGGUGAACGCCAUGUGCUGGGCCUCGCUGAAUCACCUGGACUCCCACGUUCUGCUGUGCCUCAUGGGAAUUGCAGAGACUCCGGGCUGUGUCACCCUGCUCCCCACAUCGCUGUUUGUCAGUAAUCAUGCAGCAGGAGACCGGCCUGGCAUGCUCUGCAGUUUCCGGAUCCCCGGGGCCUGGUCCUGUGCGUGGUCCCUGAACAUCCAGGCAAACAACUGCUUUAGUACAGGCUUGUCUCGGCGAGUCCUGGUGACCAGCGUGGUGACGGGACACCGGCAGUCGUUUGGGACCAGCAGUGACGUCUUGACCCAGCAGUUCGCUCUCACGGCUCCUUUGCUGUUUAACGGCUGUCGUUCUGGCGAAAUCUUUGCCAUUGAUCUGCGUUGUCAAAAUCAGGGCAAGGGCUGGAAGGCCACCCGCCUGUUCCACGACUCUGCAGUGACCUCCGUGCAGAUCCUCCAGGAAGAGCAGUGCCUGAUGGCGUCCGACAUGGCUGGGACGAUCAAGCUGUGGGACCUGAGGACCACUAAGUGCAUCCGGCAGUACGAAGGGCACGUGAACGAGUAUGCCCACCUGCCCCUACACGUGCACGAGGAGGAAGAAAUCAUGGUGGCAGUGGGCCAGGACUGCUACACGAGAAUCUGGAGCCUCCACGAUGGCCAACUACUGAGAACCAUACCCUCCCCAUACCCCACCUCCAAGGCCGACAUUCCCAGCGUGGCCUUCUCUUCUCGGCUUGGGGGCGCCCGGGGAGCGCCAGGGUUGCUCAUGGCCGUCCGGCAGGACCUUUACUGCUUCUCCUACAGCUGACUCUGCAGGGUGCGGCCUGGAGGGAUGUGAAUGUGACUCAAGGGAGCUAAGCCCUGGCAUGCUGACCUGCAUGGAGGACCCAGGAAAUAGCUGCAUGAUUGAAAGGUGACUUCUAGACCCAUCUCCCUGCUUGCUCCUACCACCCACCCACCUGCACUCUUGGCCUCAUCUGAAUUAAAGCAGCCGCCGCAAAACCAAGAUGAACACUGGGUGUGUAGGACAAAAAAAAAAAAAGAGAACUUGGUUAUUUUGACACCGGGUUACCUUCUCCUCUCCUGGUCUGGCUAGUUUAAGAAAGCGAUUUCGGAAGCCUUUUCUGCAUUUUUCCUGUGUGGUCCAGCAGACACCACGCUCGGGGCGGCCCCACACAACCGUACAGGAGACGGUGGAGAACAAUUGUUCACCAGGAGCUGGGCAGACAGCAAGGCAGGGCAGAGGAUAGGCACCAAAGGGACAGAUACAAAAGGAGAAGAGUCUCCUCCCAGUGUUUCCAUAGGUCACUAGUAACCUAAUCUCUUCUCCUGGGAGAGAGCAUUCCCGGGGAAUAAACUGAGAUAACAUACACCUCUCACUUGGCUUUUGCUCUGAAAAGCCACCAGCUUUCAUCAACUAGAGGACUUUCCUGGUGGCUCAGACAGUAAAGCGUCUGCCUACAAUGCGGGAGACCCAGGUUCAAUCCCUGGGUCGGGAAGAUCUCCUGGAGAAGGAAAUGGUCACCCACUCCAGUAUUCUUGCCUGGAAAAUCCCAUGGACAGUGGAACCUGGUAGGCUUCAGUCCAUGGAGUCGCAAAGAGUCAGACACGACUGAGCAACUUCACUUUCUUUCACUUUUCAUCAACUAGAAAGAGGUAGCAAGAUAAUACUGAUGAACUUAAAGGAAAGAGGCCAGAGUCCAUAUUCCGCAGGAAGAUUCCUUUAUAACGGCGAAUUUAAUAAUACACAGUACUAGAGCAGGCCUCAGUCACUGGGCCAUGGGAGGCGGGAAGGAAGCAGGUCUGAGAGGGACCAACACAUUUCCAGGGCUCACGUCACAGGGACACGCCAAGAGUGACCACCACGUACCUCCCUGAACUUGGCCCACCCGCCCCGUUCAGUCAAGAACUGUGUCACUUCAAAUUCUUUUUCGCCAUUGACAAUAAAAUCCACCAUGAUGACAGGAUUUCAGCACAACGGUCUCCUUCCAGUCACGACAAAUACAGAUAUCCCAGCUCUUGAGAAACAAAAAGUUCAUCUGACUUCUCUCGCCAGGACUGGAGAAUUUUUUCAUAAUGAUCCGCUGAAAUGUUUGUAUAUACUUGGAAAAAAACCACUAACAGUCCAUUCUGUACUGUUUCCCUGGAAGAUUUCUCAUGACCACCCGUCCAAUGCUCAAAGGGUCGUGUGUCUGGGAAUAAAGGAUUAAGACACUUCAAAAUAAGCAAGAACCCUAGUGCAACACUCAGUAGAUGGUGGGCUCGAGGGGGCUGGGAGGGGAGGGUGGGGCAGAUGCUCCACUGCGGGGUAGGGAAAGCCAAGUGGUAGAGCGAAUGGAAGCAUCGACAAGCAGGGAACAGUGCUGGGGAAGGCCCGUCUCCUUCCGUGCCCGCCCCCCCUCC